rnacentral:rRNA from 1 species
AAUGCCACACUCUGGGAACAAUAUCCGGCUCUAUACAACAUUGUGUGUUACAAGAAUGAUACUAUCGCUACGGUAAUGAAAUUAUUUCCGCCUAAUGUGACGUUUAGAAGAGAUUUAAUUGGACCCCGACUCCAAUCAUGGUACAUCCUGCUCCAACGGGUUUCUACGGUGCAAUUAUCACAUGGGUCUGAUGUAUUCCGAUGGAACCUACAUGGGAAUGGACAAUUCUCAGUGAAGUCUAUAUAUAGUGCGUUAUGUGCCAGUUGA